rnacentral:rRNA from 1 species
ACACAACCAAGUAUAGGAGGUCCAGCCUGCCCAGUGACUACAAGUUCAACGGCCGCGGUAUUUUGACCGUGCAAAGGUAGCGCAAUCACUUGUCUUUUAAAUAGAGACCUGUAUGAAUGGCUAAACGAGGGCUUAACUGUCUCCCCUUUCCAGUCAGUGAAAUUGAUCUACCCGUGCAGAAGCGGGUAUAAUAAUACAAGACGAGAAGACCCUUUGGAGCUUAAGGUACAAAACUCAACCACGUUAAGCAACUCAAUAAAAAGUGAAAACUUUGUGGAACAUGAGAUUUUACCUUCGGUUGGGGCGACCACGGAGGAAAAAAGAGCCUCCAGGUGGAACGGGAGAAUUUCCUAAAACUAAGAGAGACAUCUCUAAGCCACAGAACAUCUGACCAAAUAUGAUCCGGCUAAUACAAGCCGAUCAACGAACCAAGUUACCCUAGGGAUAACAGCGCAAUCCUCUCCCAGAGUCCAUAUCGACGAGGGGGUUUACGACCUCGAUGUUGGAUCAGGACAUCCUAAUGGUGCAGCCGCUAUUAAGGGUUCGUUUGUUCAACGA